rnacentral:lncRNA from 1 species
AUUUUGAUUGUUAUUAAUAUACUAAUAGAGAUCCACGUCAAACCCCCACCAUUUCAAGGUGCUUUUUUAUUUUUAUAAAAAAAAUUUAAUAUUUUAUAUUUAAUUUUGCUCCUUAAUCUUUUUUUAAUUUAUAAAAAAUUAUAUUUUUAAAUUUAAAAAAUAGAUAGGACCAGCACGUGGGCCAUGUCGGAACUCUUAUGGGCCAUGCCGGGCCUGGGCCAUGGGUUGCAAACCCUCAGCCCAACCCAGCCCCAUUAAUGGGC